GUCUUUUGAUUGGAGCAUUUAAUUCAUUUACACUCAAUUAAUGAUAGGUGAGAUUCCAGUGUUUCCUCCAGAAAGGCACAUUAUUCCUCCACCAUGGUCUUCUUUUUCCUGUGUACCUUGACCCUGUAGGAGAUGAGACUUCUAAAGUGAUUCCUUUCCCUCUUUUCUCCUCAUCACCCCUUCCCACUCUCUAAGGUUUUCAGGUGCUGGUUCCAUGGCUCUUCCUGAGCCGAAAAUAAGGAAACUCCAUAGACCUUGUCCACUGGAACUCGUUCCCAUCUACCCUCCACUCUAUCCAGCCCCAUGAGGACAAGGAACAUGAUUGGUUUUGCUCACUGCCGUAUCUUCCGUACCUAGUACGUAACAGGACAUCAAUAAAUAUUAGUUGAAUGGAAGAUUAAAUCAACAAAAUGGGUGAUGGAUCUCUGCAGUAAGUGGAAGAGUUCUUCAUGGCCCCCAAGGUUAUAUCCAUCUAGAACUUCAGCACGUAAUUUCAUCUGGAAAUAGUGCCUUUGCGGAUAUAAGUUAGGUAAAACUGAAGAUGAGAUCAUACUGGAUUAGGAUGGGAUCUAAAUCCAAUGAAAAUGUCUUCAUAAAAAACAGGAAAGAACCCAUAGAAACACAAGGAAGAAGGUCAUGUGAAGAUGGAGGCAGAGAUUGGAGGGAUGCAGCCACCGGCCCAGGAAUGCCAGCAGCCACCCAGAAGCUGGAAGGAAAUGAGGGAUUCUCUCCUAGAACCUUUAGAGAGAACAUGGUCCUGUGAACAGCUUGAUUUUGGACUUGCCCAUAGCUUGUAUACUCUUACUUUGGAUACAAUUUUAUCCAAACUUGGCUAAACAGUUUCUCAGCCUAUGGAAAAUUUAAAAUGGAGAAGAUUCAACUCGAUUCUUACAGAUUCAAAGCAAGAAAAUGAUGGGAACAUAGGAGGAGACCAAGAAAGCCUAUAAAAAGCAAAAAUAUGAAGUGAACAUUGUGGUAGCUUUAAGAUGUUUAGUGUAGCUGCAGGCACCCUAUACACAUGAAAACCCCCAAGGGGAAUCCCCAUAUCACAGUGUAGUGUGAUAUUUGACAUUCGUGAUCAUCUAGAGAUGUACAGAAAAGGUGAAUCUGUGUUCUGUAUAUUCUGCCUAAGGCAAAGAAAUGUUUAGCUCUCUUUAAAAUAGUUCCAUAAUUUUUUCUAAAAAGCUUUGCUUGAAAACUGUAAGCUUCCCAUAUCUGGAGCAUUUCACUUUAAAUAUUUGGAUAAAUAUGUUAUCUUCUUACUUGGACAUUUCAUGUGUUUAGGGAUUGUCUUCUAAAUUCUUCCUAAUUCAUAUAGCUGCUAACACUUCCCGCAGAGCUAAACCAUUACAGAUAUGAAAUAAAGACCUAUUGAUUUGACUU
rnacentral:lncRNA from 1 species